rnacentral:rRNA from 1 species
UCGCUCAGGACGAACGCUGGCGGCGUGCCUAAUACAUGCAAGUCGAACGAACUCUGGUAUUGAUUGGUGCUUGCAUCAUGAUUUACAUUUGAGUGAGUGGCGAACUGGUGAGUAACACGUGGGAAACCUGCCCAGAAGCGGGGGAUAACACCUGGAAACAGAUGCUAAUACCGCAUAACAACUUGGACCGCAUGGUCCGAGUUUGAAAGAUGGCUUCGGCUAUCACUUUUGGAUGGUCCCGCGGCGUAUUAGCUAGAUGGUGGGGUAACGGCUCACCAUGGCAAUGAUACGUAGCCGACCUGAGAGGGUAAUCGGCCACAUUGGGACUGAGACACGGCCCAAACUCCUACGGGAGGCAGCAGUAGGGAAUCUUCCACAAUGGACGAAAGUCUGAUGGAGCAACGCCGCGUGAGUGAAGAAGGGUUUCGGCUCGUAAAACUCUGUUGUUAAAGAAGAACAUAUCUGAGAGUAACUGUUCAGGUAUUGACGGUAUUUAACCAGAAAGCCACGGCUAACUACGUGCCAGCAGCCGCGGUAAUACGUAGGUGGCAAGCGUUGUCCGGAUUUAUUGGGCGUAAAGCGAGCGCAGGCGGUUUUUUAAGUCUGAUGUGAAAGCCUUCGGCUCAACCGAAGAAGUGCAUCGGAAACUGGGAAACUUGAGUGCAGAAGAGGACAGUGGAACUCCAUGUGUAGCGGUGAAAUGCGUAGAUAUAUGGAAGAACACCAGUGGCGAAGGCGGCUGUCUGGUCUGUAACUGACGCUGAGGCUCGAAAGUAUGGGUAGCAAACAGGAUUAGAUACCCUGGUAGUCCAUACCGUAAACGAUGAAUGCUAAGUGUUGGAGGGUUUCCGCCCUUCAGUGCUGCAGCUAACGCAUUAAGCAUUCCGCCUGGGGAGUACGGCCGCAAGGCUGAAACUCAAAGGAAUUGACGGGGGCCCGCACAAGCGGUGGAGCAUGUGGUUUAAUUCGAAGCUACGCGAAGAACCUUACCAGGUCUUGACAUACUAUGCAAAUCUAAGAGAUUAGACGUUCCCUUCGGGGACAUGGAUACAGGUGGUGCAUGGUUGUCGUCAGCUCGUGUCGUGAGAUGUUGGGUUAAGUCCCGCAACGAGCGCAACCCUUAUUAUCAGUUGCCAGCAUUAAGUUGGGCACUCUGGUGAGACUGCCGGUGACAAACCGGAGGAAGGUGGGGAUGACGUCAAAUCAUCAUGCCCCUUAUGACCUGGGCUACACACGUGCUACAAUGGAUGGUACAACGAGUUGCGAACUCGCGAGAGUAAGCUAAUCUCUUAAAGCCAUUCUCAGUUCGGAUUGUAGGCUGCAACUCGCCUACAUGAAGUCGGAAUCGCUAGUAAUCGCGGAUCAGCAUGCCGCGGUGAAUACGUUCCCGGGCCUUGUACACACCGCCCGUCACACCAUGAGAGUUUGUAACACCCAAAGUCGGUGGGGUAACCUUUUAGGAACCAGCCGCCUAAGGUGGGACAGAUGAUUAGGGUGAAGUCGUAACAAGGUAGCCGUAGGAGAACCUGCGGCUGGACACCUU